AGGACGAACGCUGGCGGCGUGCCUAACACAUGCAAGUCGAGCGGGGACAUGCGACGGAAGAGAAGAUUCGGUUGGAUCUGAAGAUGUAUGUUCUAGCGGCGGACGGGUGAGUAACGCGUGAGCAACCUGUCCCUUACAGGGGGAUAACACAGCGAAAGUUGUACUAAUACCGCAUAGGACCACGGGGAGACAUCUUCCAGGGGUCAAAGGAGCAAUCCGGUAAGGGGUGGGCUCGCGUCCGAUUAGAUAGUUGGUGAGGUAACGGCCCACCAAGUCGACGAUCGGUAGCCGACCUGAGAGGGUGAUCGGCCACAUUGGGACUGAGACACGGCCCAAACUCCUACGGGAGGCAGCAGUGGGGAAUAUUGGGCAAUUGGGGGGAAACCCUGACCCAGCAACGCCGCGUGAGGGAAGAAGGUUUUCGGAUCGUAAACCUCUGUCCUUGGUGAAGAGGAAGAGACGGUAGCCAAGGAGGAAGCCCCGGCUAACUACGUGCCAGCAGCCGC
rnacentral:rRNA from 1 species